UCAACCAUGACCCUGCAGU
rnacentral:misc_RNA from 1 species